rnacentral:tRNA from 3 species
CAAAAAAUAGUUUAAUUAAAAUUUUAACUUUGGAAGUUAUAGACGGGACAACAACCCCUUUUUUGA